rnacentral:rRNA from 1 species
AGUAAUGCAUAGGAAUCUGCCCAGUAGUGGGGGAUAACUUGGAGAAAUCCAAGCUAAUACCGCAUGUGUCCUACGGGACAAAGCAGGGGACCUUCGGGCCUUGCGCUAUUGGAUGAGCCUAUGUCGGAUUAGCUAGUUGGUAGGGUAAAGGCCUACCAAGGCGACGAUCCGUAGCUGGUCUGAGAGGAUGAUCAGCCACACUGGAACUGAGACACGGUCCAG